UGGUUAGCGACAUUGCUGGUGC
rnacentral:miRNA from 1 species